rnacentral:rRNA from 1 species
ACGAACGCUGGCGGCGUGCCUAAUACAUGCAAGUAGAACGCUGAAGAGAGGAGCUUGCUCUUCUUGGAUGAGUUGCGAACGGGUGAGUAACGCGUAGGUAACCUGCCUUGUAGCGGGGGAUAACUAUUGGAAACGAUAGCUAAUACCGCAUAACAAUGGAUGACACAUGUCAUUUAUUUGAAAGGGGCAAUUGCUCCACUACAAGAUGGACCUGCGUUGUAUUAGCUAGUAGGUGAGGUAAUGACUCACCUAGGCGACGAUACAUAGCCGACCUGAGAGGGUGAUCGGCCACACUGGGACUGAGACACGGCCCAGACUCCUACGGGAGGCAGCAGUAGGGAAUCUUCGGCAAUGGGGGCAACCCUGGCCGAGCAACGCCGCGUGAGUGAAGAAGGUUUUCGGAUCGUAAAGCUCUGUUGUAAGUCAAGAACGGGUGUGAGAGUGGAAAGUUCACACUGUGACGGUAGCUUACCAGAAAGGGACGGCUAACUACGUG